rnacentral:rRNA from 1 species
UACGAAGGGGGGCUAGCGUUGCUCGGAAUCACUGGGCGUAAAGGGUGCGUAGGCGGGUCUUUAAGUCAGGGGUGAAAUCCUGGAGCUCAACUCCAGAACUGCCUUUGAUACUGAAGAUCUUGAGUUCGGGAGAGGUGAGUGGAACUGCGAGUGUAGAGGUGAAAUUCGUAGAUAUUCGCAAGAACACCAGUGGCGAAGGCGGCUCACUGGCCCGAUACUGACGCUGAGGCACGAAAGCGUGGGGAGCAAAC